rnacentral:rRNA from 1 species
CUUUUUAAGUUAAAAGCAUUUUGCGCAAAAAGGAAGGCUUAUUUGGUAUUAGGUAGUUGGUUAUGAUAAAAGCUGACCAUAGCCUGAGAUGCCUAGCAGACUUUAGCGAGUGAUCUGCCACAACGGGCUUGGAAGAGUGCCUGAACAUACAAUGGCAGCAGUAAAGAAUCUUGGACAAUGCAUUAACGUGUGAUCCAGCCAGUCUCUGUGGUGGAUGAAGGCCUUUUAGGUUGUAAACAUCUAAGGUUUUUUUAGAAUAUAAUGAAUGUAUAAAAAAAUCAAGGGGUGGCUAACCUCGUGCCAGCAGCCGCGGUAAUACGGGGGCCUCUAGUCUUUGACCUCAUGACUGGGUGUAAAUGGCCACAAAGGAGGUUGUCUUUGUUCUUGAUAAAAUACUACGACUUGAUCGUAGGGCUAUCAUUAAUACAAGAAAUUUUGACUAGAAUAUAUAGG